UUCUUUGUAAAUAAAGAUGUUGUAUUAAAGGAACACAUCUUUCCUUUUAGACACUUAAAGUCUCAGUUCCUAUCCUCCACAAAUUCCGCACUUAAUUCUCCUUCAGUGUCUUCUCCUGCUUUGUCUACACCUGACUCUUUCUCUUAGACUUUUGUUGAUUCUUCAUCAGCACCUGAACCUCAUUAAUCCUGAACUCCCUUCCCUGAUGGAUUCAGCACCACCUUCCCGGAAUCACUAAUCUUCUUCUUCUCCACUUUCUCCUUUGCCACCUGACACUACUACUCCAUUUCCUUCCCCUGAACCUAUACCUGCUCCACCCAGAAGAUCAGAUAGACCUCUCUAACCUUCUAUCAAGUUCAUAGAUAUGUACAUCCCCUUGGACUUCUACUUCCUCUGCUUACCCUAUACAUCAGUUUGUCUCUUAUUCACACCUACAUGCUCAUUUUCAAUAGUUUCUAGCCUACAUCUCUUCAGACACAAAACCCUUUACCUUCUCUCAAGCUAUUAAGGAUGAAAGAUGGGUUGAAGAAAUAAAGC
rnacentral:lncRNA from 1 species